rnacentral:rRNA from 1 species
GGGUUGUGAGGUUAAGCGACUAAGCGUACACGGUGGAUGCCCUGGCAGUCAGAGGCGAUGAAGGACGUGCUAAUCUGCGAUAAGCGUCGGUAAGGUGAUAUGAACCGUUAUAACCGGCGAUUUCCGAAUGGGGAAACCCAGUGUGAUUCGUCACACUAUCAUUAACUGAAUCCAUAGGUUAAUGAGGCGAACCGGGGGAACUGAAACAUCUAAGUACCCCGAGGAAAAGAAAUCAACCGAGAUUCCCCCAGUAGCGGCGAGCGAACGGGGAGGAGCCCAGAGCCUGAAUCAGUGUGUGUGUUAGUGGAAGCGUCUGGAAAGGCGCGCGAUACAGGGUGACAGCCCCGUACACAAAAAUGCACAUAUUGUGAGCUCAAUGAGUAGGGCGGGACACGUGGUAUCCUGUCUGAAUAUGGGGGGACCAUCCUCCAAGGCUAAAUACUCCUGACUGACCGAUAGUGAACCAGUACCGUGAGGGAAAGGCGAAAAGAACCCCGGCGAGGGGAGUGAAAAAGAACCUGAAACCGUGUACGUACAAGCAGUGGGAGCACGCUUAGGCGUGUGACUGCGUACCUUUUGUAUAAUGGGUCAGCGACUUAUAUUCUGUAGCAAGGUUAACCGAAUAGGGGAGCCGAAGGGAAACCGAGUCUUAACUGGGCGUUAAGUUGCAGGGUAUAGACCCGAAACCCGGUGAUCUAGCCAUGGGCAGGUUGAAGGUUGGGUAACACUAACUGGAGGACCGAACCGACUAAUGUUGAAAAAUUAGCGGAUGACUUGUGGCUGGGGGUGAAAGGCCAAUCAAACCGGGAGAUAGCUGGUUCUCCCCGAAAGCUAUUUAGGUAGCGCCUCGUGAAUUCAUCUCCGGGGGUAGAGCACUGUUUCGGCAAGGGGGUCAUCCCGACUUACCAACCCGAUGCAAACUGCGAAUACCGGAGAAUGUUAUCACGGGAGACACACGGCGGGUGCUAACGUCCGUCGUGAAGAGGGAAACAACCCAGACCGCCAGCUAAGGUCCCAAAGUCAUGGUUAAGUGGGAAACGAUGUGGGAAGGCCCAGACAGCCAGGAUGUUGGCUUAGAAGCAGCCAUCAUUUAAAGAAAGCGUAAUAGCUCACUGGUCGAGUCGGCCUGCGCGGAAGAUGUAACGGGGCUAAACCAUGCACCGAAGCUGCGGCAGCGACGCUUAUGCGUUGUUGGGUAGGGGAGCGUUCUGUAAGCCUGUGAAGGUGUGCUGUGAGGCAUGCUGGAGGUAUCAGAAGUGCGAAUGCUGACAUAAGUAACGAUAAAGCGGGUGAAAAGCCCGCUCGCCGGAAGACCAAGGGUUCCUGUCCAACGUUAAUCGGGGCAGGGUGAGUCGACCCCUAAGGCGAGGCCGAAAGGCGUAGUCGAUGGGAAACAGGUUAAUAUUCCUGUACUUGGUGUUACUGCGAAGGGGGGACGGAGAAGGCUAUGUUGGCCGGGCGACGGUUGUCCCGGUUUAAGCGUGUAGGCUGGUUUUCCAGGCAAAUCCGGAAAAUCAAGGCUGAGGCGUGAUGACGAGGCACUACGGUGCUGAAGCAACAAAUGCCCUGCUUCCAGGAAAAGCCUCUAAGCAUCAGGUAACAUCAAAUCGUACCCCAAACCGACACAGGUGGUCAGGUAGAGAAUACCAAGGCGCUUGAGAGAACUCGGGUGAAGGAACUAGGCAAAAUGGUGCCGUAACUUCGGGAGAAGGCACGCUGAUAUGUAGGUGAAGUCCCUCGCGGAUGGAGCUGAAAUCAGUCGAAGAUACCAGCUGGCUGCAACUGUUUAUUAAAAACACAGCACUGUGCAAACACGAAAGUGGACGUAUACGGUGUGACGCCUGCCCGGUGCCGGAAGGUUAAUUGAUGGGGUUAGCGGUAACGCGAAGCUCUUGAUCGAAGCCCCGGUAAACGGCGGCCGUAACUAUAACGGUCCUAAGGUAGCGAAAUUCCUUGUCGGGUAAGUUCCGACCUGCACGAAUGGCGUAAUGAUGGCCAGGCUGUCUCCACCCGAGACUCAGUGAAAUUGAACUCGCUGUGAAGAUGCAGUGUACCCGCGGCAAGACGGAAAGACCCCGUGAACCUUUACUAUAGCUUGACACUGAACAUUGAGCCUUGAUGUGUAGGAUAGGUGGGAGGCUUGGAAGUGUGGACGCCAGUCUGCAUGGAGCCGACCUUGAAAUACCACCCUUUAAUGUUUGAUGUUCUAACGUUGACCCGUAAUCCGGGUUGCGGACAGUGUCUGGUGGGUAGUUUGACUGGGGCGGUCUCCUCCUAAAGAGUAACGGAGGAGCACGAAGGUUGGCUAAUCCUGGUCGGACAUCAGGAGGUUAGUGCAAUGGCAUAAGCCAGCUUGACUGCGAGCGUGACGGCGCGAGCAGGUGCGAAAGCAGGUCAUAGUGAUCCGGUGGUUCUGAAUGGAAGGGCCAUCGCUCAACGGAUAAAAGGUACUCCGGGGAUAACAGGCUGAUACCGCCCAAGAGUUCAUAUCGACGGCGGUGUUUGGCACCUCGAUGUCGGCUCAUCACAUCCUGGGGCUGAAGUAGGUCCCAAGGGUAUGGCUGUUCGCCAUUUAAAGUGGUACGCGAGCUGGGUUUAGAACGUCGUGAGACAGUUCGGUCCCUAUCUGCCGUGGGCGCUGGAGAACUGAGGGGGGCUGCUCCUAGUACGAGAGGACCGGAGUGGACGCAUCACUGGUGUUCGGGUUGUCAUGCCAAUGGCACUGCCCGGUAGCUAAAUGCGGAAGAGAUAAGUGCUGAAAGCAUCUAAGCACGAAACUUGCCCCGAGAUGAGUUCUCCCUGACUCCUUGAGAGUCCUGAAGGAACGUUGAAGACGACGACGUUGAUAGGCCGGGUGUGUAAGCGCAGCGAUGCGUUGAGCUAACCGGUACUAAUGAACCGUGAGGCUUAACCUUACAACGCCGAAG